AUGUUUAGGAACGCUGCGGUCCGGGUCCCGGGGCUCUGUGAUGUUCCACAAGCAGAGGCGGGGCGAGGGGGGGAAACACUGGCAGAGCCUGGCAGAGUGGCACCUGUGUCAUUUCUGGGGCUGUGCUGGCUGCUGUCACUCCUGCCGGGGGGGGGGGGGGGGGGGGGGGGGGGGGGGGGGGGGGGGGGGGGGGGGGGGGGGGGGGGGGGGGGGGGGGGGGGGGGGGGGGGGGGGGGGGGGGCUGUGCUGGCUGCUGUCACUCCUGCCAGUUCGGCUCCUCUGCAUCCUUGUCUCCUCCUCCCCAUCUCCCUGGCUGAGUGCCCACCAUGGGCUGGGUGCCGCUGCCUCUCCAGGGACUGUCUCGGCAGGGGACGUCAGCAGCUUGGGAUGUGGAAACAUCCUCAGCCUGCAUCCCCAGGAGGGCCUUUCAGCUGCUGUUUGGGGCUUUUAGAUGGGAAAUGGAUUAGAAUCCCAAAUGUCAAUAGGAUUUAUAGAUACCAUCUGCUGCUGACCCUGAAUUUUCAGUCCCUGAAUUUUUCUGCUCAGUCCAAGAGCGCUCCUGCCUAUGGCUUUCUGGCUGUGCUGCUGUCAGGGUUCCUUUUCCUUUUCCUUUUCCUUUUCCUUUUCCUUUUCCUUUUCCUUUUCCUUUUCCUUUUCCUUUUCCUUUCCCUUUCCCUUUCCCUUUCCCUUUCCCUUUCCCUUUCCCUGCCCUGCCUUGCCUUUGCCUUUGCCUUGCCUUUGCCUUGCCUUGCCUCCCUUCCCAAAAGUUCACUUCCCUUCCCAAAACUUCCCUUCCCCUGGUUCCAGGGGGGCUGUACCUGUACCCACCCUUGCUCCCUUCCAGUCCCUGUCCGGAGCUCUGAUCUCAGGGCUGGGUCCAGCAGAGCGGGGUCUCCUGAGGAAGCGUCCUCACUCUGCUCAGCCCGAGGCUCCCUCUGCUGUCCGUCCAUCCAUCCCUCUGUCUGUCCGUCCCUCUGCCCAGCGCUUGCUGGGGAAUCCUCGGGCUGUGCAGGAGGAAUUGCUGAGCUGGGCUGGGGCAAGGCUCAGCUCAAAAUCCUCUCCCAAAAUCCUGCAGGGAGAGCAACCCCGGAGAGAAACGUCGGUGUGCUUUGA
rnacentral:lncRNA from 1 species